GCGUGAGCUACGCAGAAGACGGGUGAUUUCUGCAUUUCCAUCUGAGAGGACAGGUGACCGCAAAGCAGAAGUGAUGAAGAGCCAGUCACCAUGGCCACAUCUUGAGGUCACACAGUCAGCAGUUCGCUUUGCUCACUCAGUCCUAUAAAACACUGCUGCUUAAAGAAACCAGAUGGCGCCAGAGCUUCUUGACCCCUGACCAGAUGCCAGAGGAAGAUAAGACACCAUAAAACCAGCGCAAAUGGGAACUGGCAAACCCUGGGUGCCUUUAGAUCAUGAACAUAUCAUUAUAAUGCUAAUUUCCCUUCCCUAAAAGAAAAUCUCUGCCAUUUUGUGUACAUAUGAUAUAUGAAGAUGCAUGUUUAUGAAUUGGGCCUGCGUGUCUGGAGUCCCACCCUGCACAUACUAACAUUCCUUUCCUGCCCCAUAGGAAUAAAGGCAAUAAACCCCUUGCCUUUUAUUCUUCAAGAAAAGAUGCUUUCAGAGGAAGAGCUCACCUUCUCCAUUCCCUGGCAAAUGAAUAAAACCUGA
rnacentral:lncRNA from 1 species